rnacentral:rRNA from 1 species
CCAAUAGCGUAUAUUAAAGUUGUUGCAGUUAAAAAGCUCGUAGUUGAAUUUCGGGAUCAUCAGGUUGGUCGUGCCUCUGGUAUGUACUGAUUUCGAUGGUUCCUCCUUCUUGAAGAUCCGUAAUGCCAUUAAUUUGGUGUUGCGGGGAAUCAGGACUGUUACUUUGAAAAAAUUAGAGUGUUUAAAGCAGGCAAUCGCUUGAAUACAUUAGCAUGGAAUAAUGAAAUAGGACGUUUGAUCCUAUUUUGUUGGUUUCUAGGAUUGACGUAAUGAUUGAUAGGGAUAGUUGGGGGCAUUAGUAUUCAAUUGUCAGAGGUGAAAUUCUUGGAUUUAUUGAAGACUAACUACUGCGAAAGCAUUUGCCAAGGAUGUUUUCAUUAAUCAAGAACGAAAGUUAGGGGAUCGAAGACGAUCAGAUACCGUCGUAGUCUUAACCAUAAACUAUGCCGACUAGGGAUCGGAUGAUGUUAAUUUUUUAAUGACUCAUUCGGCGCCUUACG